rnacentral:rRNA from 1 species
CUUUGCUGGCGACCGGCGCACGGGUGAGUAACACGUAUCCAACCUGCCCUUUACUCGGGGAUAGCCUUUCGAAAGAAAGAUUAAUACCCGAUAGCAUAAUGAUUCCGCAUGGUUUCAUUAUUAAAGGAUUCCGGUAAAGGAUGGGGAUGCGUUCCAUUAGGUUAUUGGUGAGGUAACGGCUCACCAAGCCUUCGAUGGAUAGGGGUUCUGAGAGGAAGGUCCCCCACAUUGGAACUGAGACACGGUCCAA